UAACGAAUAUUGGGCAAUGGGCGCAAGCCUGACCCAGCAAUGCCGCGUGCGGGAUGAAGUCCCUCGGGAUGUAAACCGCUGUCAGGGGCUCGCAAGCAAUCGGAGUGAACAAUUCCGAAAGUUGAGCAGCCCCAGAGGAAGUCUCGGCUAACUCUGUGCCAGCAGCCGCGGUAAUACAGAGGAGGCAAGCGUUGUUCGGAAUCACUGGGCUUAAAGCGCGCGUAGGCUGCCUGGUAAGUGCUUCGUGAAA
rnacentral:rRNA from 1 species